AUAGUAGUAUACCUGAGUCAUCGAUGGGAGCUAGGCUCGAUGUCUCCUCCUUCCCGACUCUCUCCACUCUCCCCGACGCCGCCGCUUCCCGAAGACCGGCGGCGAGCUGCCAGCUGGGGAUGCGCCCUCUCUGCUGCCGGAGAAUCUGGAUCCGGCCGGCAUCGGCGACGGCGACGGCGAGGGCCGGGCGGCCAGAUCGACGGCGCCGUCGACGUGGGGUGGAGAGCAGGGGUACCAUUUGAAGUGCAAGUUACAAGUUGAGAGGGCCAUGGUUACAGAUGCAUGUCACCUCACCAUUGCAUGUGGAGGCUUGAUCUGCUAGGAACUUUGGCUGGCUGAAGAAACAAAAAAUAAUCUUAUUUGCUUUUACAUGCUCGUUUGUUACCGCAUGGAGCAAACUAUCUCAAAAUGUUCUUUUGUCCAAAAACUUUGCUUCGGCACAAGAUUUGUACAUGCUAUGUAAAGUAUUUUUGCAGGUAUUUGCCCUGUCAAGCUGAUGAUGUCUCAGUUGUCAAUGUGAACAAUCAAUACUUUUCAAUACAACACCGUUAGUCACGGCAAACAGUAUUUGUACAUGCAA